rnacentral:rRNA from 1 species
AUUGAACGCUGGCGGCAUGCCUUACACAUGCAAGUCGAACGGCAGCGGGGACUUCGGUCCGCCGGCGAGUGGCGAACGGGUGAGUAAUGUAUCGGAACGUACCUUUCAGUGGGGGAUAACGUAGCGAAAGUUACGCUAAUACCGCAUAUUCUCUGAGGAGGAAAGCAGGGGACCUUCGGGCCUUGCGCUGAUGGAGCGGCCGAUAUCAGAUUAGCUAGUUGGUGGGGUAAAGGCUCACCAAGGCUACGAUCUGUAGCGGGUCUGAGAGGAUGAUCCGCCACACUGGGACUGAGACACGGCCCAGACUCCUACGGGAGGCAGCAGUGGGGAAUUUUGGACAAUGGGCGAAAACCUGAUCCAGCCAUGCCGCGUGAGUGAAGAAGGCCUUCGGGUUGUAAAGCUCUUUCGGACGGGAAGAAAUCAUGAGGGCUAAUAUCCCUUGUGGAUGACGGUACCGUAAUAAGAAGCACCGGCUAACUACGUGCCAGCAGCCGCAGUAA